CGCGGGGAAGUGUAACGGUUGCACGGGAGGCUCAUAAUCUCUAGGUAGUAGGUUCAACUCCUACCCCCGCAA
rnacentral:tRNA from 1 species